UACAGAGGUCUCAAGCGUUGUUCGGAUUCAUUGGGCGUAAAGGGUGCGUAGGCGGCGCGGUAAGUCGGGGUGUGAAAUCUCGGAGCUUAACUCCGAAACUGCAUUCGAUACUGCCGUGCUUGAGGACUGGAGAGGUGAGUGGAAUUCCGAGUGUAGAGGUGAAAUUCGUAGAUAUUCGGAAGAACACCAGUGGCGAAGGCGGCUCACUGGACCGGUAUUGACGCUGAGGUGCGGAAAAGCGUGGGGGAGCAAACAGG
rnacentral:rRNA from 1 species